rnacentral:rRNA from 1 species
UACAGAGGGUGCAAGCGUUAAUCGGAAUUACUGGGCGUAAAGGGCGCGUAGGUGGGUCCUUAAGUCAUAUGUGAAAGCCCUGGGCUUAACCUGGGAACGGCAUAUGAAACUGGGUACCUAGAGUAGAAUAGAGGGAAGUGGAAUUUCCGGUGUAGCGGUGAAAUGCGUAGAUAUCGGAAGGAACACCCGUGGCGAAGGCGACUUCCUGGAUUCAUACUGACACUGAGGCGCGAGAGCGUGGGGAGCAAACAGG